rnacentral:rRNA from 1 species
CAGUAGCCGCGGGAAUACGUAGGUGGCAAGCGUUGUCCGGAUUUAUUGGGCGUAAAGCGAGCGCAGGCGGUCAAUUAAGUCUGAUGUGAAAGCCCCCGGCUCAACCGGGGAGGGUCAUUGGAAACUGGUUGACUUGAGUGCAGAAGAGGAGAGUGGAAUUCCAUGUGUAGCGGUGAAAUGCGUAGAUAUAUGGGGGAACACCAGUGGCGAAGGCGACUCUCUGGUCUGUAACUGACGCUGAGGCUCGAAAGCGUGGGUAGCAAACAGGAUUAGAUACCCGUGUAGUCCCUGUCUCUUAUAA